AAGCUACUUGAGAACUUCAGAUGCCUCCUCGGUCCUCUGAGGCUCUGUAUAAAAUGCUUGAGGAAGAAGAAUUCUCUAAGGUUCCUGUACUGAGUUCCUGCCCUGGAUUCUCUGCAUGAAGAACUGUAAGCUGUGAGGUGAAAUAAGGCCUUUUCUCCUCGAGAUGCUGUGCUCUUGAUUGCACAGAGGAAGGUCCAGUGAAGGGUAUAAUGAGGCCCUGGCCUUCUACAAACCAAGGAAAUCAUGAUCACCAGAAAGACAUCCUGCAUGGAACUUGAUCAUGGUGGCUCGGCUCCUGGAUGACAAAGGACGAUUAGUCGCAGGCUGGGCUCUCGGAGUGUUGAGAUAUGGAUUAAGAAUACUCCGUUCAGUGAUGUUGAAUGACCAAUUGAAUAUUUUUGGUGAGUAUAUUUUGCAUUUUCCUCAAAGUUAAAUCUUUGGAUCUGAAUGUCAUCUUGUCUGUCUGCUCAGCAUUAAUUCUGCAAUACUGGGACCAGCACAUUGAUGUUUUAAAUCAUAAGAAGAAUCUGCUUUUAUUUAAUAUCUUUGUCCCUCUAUGAACUGUGGGGGAAAGGGAGUUGUCAAGCCUGUGUUCAAACCAAAAUUUGCCAAAAAAUCCUUUAAAGUAAUAAUCUUUAGGCAAGACCAGUAGCACUCUCUUGUUUCAUUUCAGUGUGUGUGUGUGUGUGUGUGUGUGUGUGUGUGUGUGUGUGUGUAUCUUUCCUGUGUUUCCUGCUCCCACCUGAACUGCACAGUAAUUAAAAAUCACGUCAUCUCUCCAGUUGUGCAUCAGGGCUACAUGCAUGUCACUUGGCCACUCUGCUAUCUAAAUCAGGUGUUGGGGGUGGGGUGGGGAAUCAAGGUUAGUGUGAACAGCUGGCAUCUGCGUCCGGCCAGGCCAGCUGAACUUCAGCCUGAAGCUUGGCCCAAGCCCAGACUGAUAAAGCCUUAGCUUAGCUCUAGAUUUCUACAGAAUUAGUGUGCAGAAUGUAAAGACAUGAAGACCAGCUCCAUCUGCUGUGCAUGUCUCUUGAGGCCAUUGGGGGCUUAACUUGCUUUGGGGGAGAAGACAGUAGAGUGGAGUGGGGUGAACCCGGGGGUAUCUUUGCCUCUGGCCUGUUUCAACCUAUCCAUCAAAAUGCUGACCUAUAUUCCAGUGACACAUAUUAGAUCCAAGCAGGACAAACUACCCAGGGUGUCCUCCCCCCUCCCACUUAGGCAAGGGGGCAGCCACAUCUGUUCUUUCUCCUCAGGCUCCAGAUGUGAGCUGUGAGGGGCAGAAGGAAGGUUGUUAAGAGGCAAGUCCGGUGCAGCAGGAACAGCACUGCAUUCUCAGGAAAGCAGCAGUAAGCAGUGGGGUGAAAGAAAGAAAGAUAGGUUUUCGGAUCCCCAGAUCUCCCCCCCCCCCCAAGCCAUUGUUUUUAAAAUGCUUUCCUGUAUUUCUGUAGAGUGGGCAGAUGGCAAGAUCCUGGAAGUGUAAAACAGCUACAAGAAACAAGAUGAUUCAGACAGAAGGAGUAUGAAUAAAUCCUGGCUGGUCAUCUCAUUAUUAAUCAAGAUACCACCACCCACCCUCUACCGCCUUAGCUGGGCUGGCGCAGGCUUGAAAAAAACGUACCAUCACCCGUGUGAUGUUUCUGAAGAAAGCCGGAGAAGCAGCAACAGUUGGUGCCUUUGAUUAGCAGAACAUUUCAAUCCCCACCCCAUCUUUUCUCCAAAUAGUCGUUCACAAUGCGAGUGCUCAGCCCCACUGUUUGCUCGGUUCAAUAGAUCUGGGGGCAAGGGUUAUGCCUUCCUGUUACCAUGGGGCUGGCAGAGAGAACUGGAGGCCAGUGAUCUUAGUCUGAGCUUCAGGAUCAUGGCUAGCUCCCUACAACUGUCCCCAGAUGUUCCCAAUUCAACCUGCAGUGCAGAUUACGUAAUCAUCUCUUCACGACGCAUGAGCAUAGGGGGAACUCUGGGCUCCAAAGAGUUAAAUUGUCAUCUGCAAUGGAAUAAAUGGUUUAACCACAAA
rnacentral:lncRNA from 1 species